GCGGGCGUGGUGAAAUUGGUAAACACAAGGGACUUAAAAUCCCUCGGCUUAACGGCCUUGCCGGUUCAAGUCCGGCCGCCCGCACCA
rnacentral:tRNA from 1 species